rnacentral:lncRNA from 1 species
AUCCCAGCCCUUUGGAAGGCCGAGGCGGGCAGAUCACAAGAUCAGGAGUUAGAGACCAUCCUGGCUAACACAGUGAAACCCCGUCUCUACUAAAAAUACAAAAAAUUAGCCGGAUGUGAUGGCACACACCUGUAGUCCCAGCUACUCGGGAGGCUGAGGCAGGAGAAUUGCCUGAACCUGGGAAGAGGAGGUUGCAGUGAGCUGAGAUCGUGCCACAGCACUCCAGCCUGGGUGACAGAGCGAGACUCCAUUUCAAAACAAAACAAAACGAACCAGUAAGACUCUGUCAUACCAGGCCCGGAAAAGCCAUCUGUUCAUUGACCUGUCCUCAGAGGUUGACCGUGCCACUGCCCUUGUGGCCCUGGUGGCGCCAUGAAGCUGAACCAGCCCCAGACCCUGGCUCGGACCCUAGGGAAGACUUGGGUCCUCAACAAGGCAGCAGCUGUGUGAGCAGUUUGGGGUCAGACCUCAGGGCCAAGGUCACUGUGUGCACCCACAGGCCAGGGGUCUCUAAGAGUUGAGAUUUCCUGAUUAGAGGCAGUACCAGCCUGGGUUUGGGAGGGAGACUGAUCCUCCCAUAAUCUCCACGAGCCCCUCCUUCAAGCCACCCCAAGUAUAAGAGAAGCACAGGUCGCUUGCUGUGCCAGCAGCAGCUUGAGGAUAACUCCAGGCCUUCCGUCUAGCCAGCCAUGUUUCACCUCGCCCCACCCUCCUCCAGUCUGGAGCCACCUUGGGUCAAGGACCCUGAGACCAAGAAUGGGAACUGGGGGCAGAGGACCUCCUGCCUGCGGCCAGGAUUCAUGGGUCGAGAUAAGCAACCACGUAAGGAGAAGCCAGGCAGUGUCAUUUUCCCUUUUUUUUUUUUAAAUUACAUGCUUGUAAUUUUAAAAUGUAGAUAUUUGAUGAACAGCUGAACGAAUGAAUGAACAAAUAAGCAUACACAUUUAUUCAUGGCGGCUGGGCGUGGUGUCUCAUGCCUGUAAUCCUAGCACUUUGAGAGGCCAAGGCAGGAGGAUCGCUUGAACCUGGGAGUUCAAGACCAGCCUGGGAAACAAAGUGAGACCUCAUCUCUACAAAAUAUUUUAAAAAUUAGCCAGGCAUGAUGGCUUGCACCUGUAGUCCCAGGUACUCAGCAGGCUGAGAUGGGAGGAUUGCUUGAGUCUGGGAGGUGGAGGCUGCAAUGAGCAGAGAUCAUGCCACUGAACGCUAGCCUGGAUGACAGAGCAAGACAGCUAUCUAAAAAAAAGAAAAAGAAAAAGGGCUUGGCAUGGUGGCUCAUGCCUGUACGCCUGUAAUUCCAGCACUUUUGGAGGCCGAGGUGGGCAGAUCACCUGAGGUCAGGAGUUCGAGACCAGCCUGGCCAACAUAGUGAAACCCCAUCUCUACUAAAAAUACAAAAAUUAGCCGGGUGUGGUAGUGCGCACCUGUAAUCCCAGCUACUCGGGAGGCUGAGGCAGGAGAAUUGCUUCAACUUGGGAGGCAGAGGUUGCAGCGAGCCGAGAUGGCGCCACUGCACUCCAGCCUGGACAACGAGAGUGAAACUCUAUUUCAAAAAAAAAAAAAUUCUUCAUGGCGGAACAAGUGACUGACUUUCGCCUCCACUGUGAUUGUUGCCAGGUGCUGCGGACGGUGGAGACGGCAAGGCAGGCCCCAGUGUCCUGGCUGCAUUCCAGGACUACAUCAAACUGAUGCCGCUGGUUCAGAAGCAAAUCAAAUGAGUGAAGAGCUGAAGAAGGUAAGUUAGCUGGAGCCAGGAGCUGGUGUGCCAGGUGCAGAAAGGACCUCAAGGCCUUGUGGGGCAGGGGUGCGUUCCCAGGGACUCUCAGGGAACUAGCGACAGAAGCCAGACUGCCCAGCCCAGGCCCGAGUACCAUUCCUUUCACCAACAGCCUACCAGGGCCACCGGGAUCCCAGACCAAUUCUUGCUGGCCAUGAGCAGGCCCUCCCAGAUGGUCCUGGGGCCUCUCUGGGUCUAGGCACCCUGAUGGCUGCUGUGCCACACAGACCACCUGGGCUGGGGACAGCUCCCUGGAGACGUGAGCUCCCAUCGGCCGGAACCUUGUAAGAGAUUUAAUCAAUUUGGUAGGGACUCCAAGUGUUAGUUCCAGGAUAUAAUGGAGAAAAUCUGGUGCUCUGUUUUUCCUCUUAGUGGGAAAUCCAAGGGGCAAGAGUGGGACAUCUUAGAGAAAGUCUUAUUCAUUCAUCAUUUAGGAAGCCCGAGGGUGGAAGAAUGAAAAAUAAAUUGCAAAGGUGGUAUGAGCUGUGAAUGUAGGAUUUUUUUUUUCUUUUUGACAGGGUCUCAAUCUGCCGCCCAGGCUGGAGUGCAGUGGUGCAAUCAUGGUUUACUGCAACCUCCACUUCCCGGGUUCAAGUGAUCCUCCCACCUCUGCCUCCCAAGUAGCUGGCAUUACAGGUGUGCACUUCCAUGCCUGGCUAAUUUUUGUAUUUUUAGUAGAGAUGGGGUUUUGCUCUGUUGCCCAGGCUGGUCUUGAACUCCUGGGCUCAAGCGAUCCACUCGCCUCAGCCUCCCAAAGUGCUGGGAUUACAGGCAUGAGGGACUGUGCCCAGCCGAAUGUACGAUUAUUUAGUGCGAAGUGUUUCUUUUACCAGGGACUUAACAUGGAAUUGAAGGUGAAAAAUUUGGCAUCGUCAGAUUCCAGGGGCUAUGACCUACAGAAGGAGGUCUUGGUGAAGGUGACCCACCACGGGUCUCACGAGGUGAGGCCCCACGGGGAUGGGACUCAGGAGGUGAGGCCCCACGGGGAUGGGACUCAGGAGGUGAGGCCGCACGGGGACGGGACUCAGGAGGUGAGGAUCCACGGGGACGGGACUCAGGAGGUGAGGAUCCACGGGGACGGGACUCAGGAGGUGAGGAUCCACGGGGACGGGACCCAGGAGGUGAGGAUCCACGGGGACGGGACCCAGGAGGUGAGGAUCCACGGGGACGGGACCCAGGAGGUGAGGCCCCACGGGGACGGGACUCAGGAGGUGAGGCCGCACGGGGACGGGACUCAGGAGGUGAGGAUCCACGGGGACGGGACCCAGGAGGUGAGGCCCCACGGGGACGGGACCCAGGAGGUGAGGUUCUUGGGGACGGGACCCAGGGGGUGAGGAUCCACGGGGACGGGACCCAGGGGGUGA